UGGAUAAAAGAAAGAGACUGGAUUGGCCUUGUGGGCGGGCCACACGCGCCGAGGGUGCGAACGAACGUGCAUACCGCUGUCGUAACGCUCAAAUGUUCAUACUGACCGGCUAGCAAUCGCUGUCAUGUUUUGACAGCGUACGUAUCUCCGCAAAAAAUAUUAUAUUAUGCCGUCUUGCGCUAUUAUAACGUGUCGGAAAAGAAGCCAGGUGUGUAGCAUAGCACGAGAAGGAAUUUCUUUUCACCGGUUUCCAACAGAUCCAGGUGUAAGAAAAUUGUGGAUUGACACAACUGGUAGAAUUAAUUGGAUUCCUACUAAAUGUAGCAUAUUUCGUUAUAAAUAUAACUAUAACCAUGUUAUUUCAAUGUGUUCUGUACUUUAUACAAAUUUAUAGUAAAUGUGAGAGCCCUGUAAUUAGCUAAAAUGACAAUGCCAGAAUCUCUAUAGAGCUUUGCCUCACCAAAAAAUAUAUUGUACAUUCAUGCCAAAUGUAGCAUUCAAUUGCUGCUCUAUUAGUGAUAACUAAAAACAUGAUUAAAAGCCUUUAGAGCUUGCGGUUUCUAUAUAAAUCUAAGAACAAAAUAUUACAUUUAAGUACCAGUUUAGAUUAAUUGCAGUUAUAAUGGUAGAAAUAAUUAAAUUAAGUGCUUUAUAUUAUUACAAUGCUAUCAUAGGGGGUUUAGCUAUGGAAGGAAGGAAUUUCAUCACCAAUAUCACCUUUAGUAAUCCUACUUUUAAUUCAUAGUCAUAACGAAACAACAAUGUAAACAGAACAGACAGAGCGAAUGUCAAAUAAUGACUUUUUGGACGUAACUGACACACGCAUGCCAAUGACGUUUCGUUACAUCUAAUCACUAACGUUCAAACACGAAAUAAUAAUUAGAAUAUGCAUUCAUUAUAAUAUAUAUUAUAAAAAAAUAAAUUAACUAACAGUAUGUAUUUAUACCAAAUUCAUAUUAAAAUCCGUACACAUGACAUUAAUAAAUCCUUUUUUUAUUGAAUGACUCUUUGUGUUCCUUUUGCAAGCGUACUAAGAAACGCAGAUGGUCGCGAUAUAUAUAUAUAAUACAGGAAGCAGGCCUUGGGUUUUUAAAUUCUUUUUAUUUCCGAUUUUUAUCCGCAACUUUAUCAGGAUAAUAAUUAAGUAACCAAACGUCUUAUUUUCAUUGCAUAAUAUUGAUUAAUUUUACAUUUCUUGUACAUUGAUGAAAUUAAGUGGGGCAGGAUCUGGCAUUGUCAUUUAAUUAGACUAGUAGAAUGCAUUUGUGUCAGCUUAGAGUUGUCAUGCUCACUCAAAGGUCUCAUUGGCGGUGGCACGGGCAUUGGAUCGUUCGAUUCCCUGCAACAUGGUUGCGUUGGACGGUGCUGGUGUACGUGCCAUGUUGGUGAACGAGCGCUGUCAACUGGGACUGGUCAGCUCCAGACUGUAUUAAUUUUGUUGUUCUUAAGGUUUUUUUUCUCUCGCUUUGACUGAAUAUUAGUUUUACAUUGUUCUCACAUAGUUGAAGCAAUCGAUGCAAAGAAAAGCAAUGUAAUCAAGAAUUGUAUUGUGAAUCUGAUUGAAAAAGAUCGAAUGAACAGAUCUUCGUUCUUCUCCAUAGGAAUCUACACUUUGGAACGAGCAAAUAGCUUCACUAGAGGGCUGACCGACAGACAGACGUUAUUAAUAUUAUUAUAUUUGCUUUGACGUUCAAAAGUGCCUAUGAUUUAAUUUUUUUACUGAUUUUUAACUUAUUGAGUAAAAAAGUGGUUUUAAAAUUCA